rnacentral:rRNA from 1 species
UACAGAGGGUGCAAGCGUUGUUCGGAAUUAUUGGGCGUAAAGCGCGUGUAGGCGGCUUUGCAAGUCGGGUGUGAAAGCCCUCGGCUCAACCGAGGAAGUGCGCCCGAAACUGCUUAGCUCGAGUGUCGGAGAGGGUAGCGGAAUUCCCCAAGUAGAGGUGAAAUUCGUAGAUAUGGGGAGGAACACCGGUGGCGAAGGCGGCUACCUGGACGAUAACUGACGCUGAGACGCGAAAGCGUGGGGAGCAAACAGG